UACGUAGGGUGCAAGCGUUAAUCGGAAUUACUGGGCGUAAAGCGUGCGCAGGCGGCUUUGCAAGACAGAUGUGAAAUCCCCCGGGCUUAACCUGGGAACUGCAUUUGUGACUGCAUGGCUGGAGUGUGGCAGAGGGGGAUGGAAUUCCGCGUGUAGCAGUGAAAUGCGUAGAUAUGCGGAGGAACACCGAUGGCGAAGGCAAUCCCCUGGGCCUGCACUGACGCUCAUGCACGAAAGCGUGGGGAGCAAACAGG
rnacentral:rRNA from 1 species